rnacentral:rRNA from 1 species
ACUCCUACGGGAGGCAGCAGUAAGGAAUAUUGGACAAUGGACGCAAGUCUGAUCCAGCCAUGCCGCGUGAAGGAUUAAGGUCCUCUGGAUUGUAAACUUCUUUUAUAAGGGACGAAAAAAGGCUUUUCUAAGUCGUCUGACGGUACCUUAUGAAUAAGCACCGGCUAACUCCGUGCCAGCAGCCGCGGUAAU